AAGUUGAAUAAAUCUCAUAGGAGUUGGGAUGAAGAAGUUAUCCCAUUUUCAAAUCAGGUGAUUCCAGUUUCCCAGUUUGGGAAUAGCACAACUUCUUCGUCGUUCCAAUCAAACAAGGAUGAAUCACUUUGUGAGAAGAUUUAUUUGGAUACAUAAAGUGGUGGAGAAUCACCAGGAAUUUGAAUAAAUCUCAUAGGAGUUGGGAUGAAGAAGUUAUCCCACUUUCAAAUCAGGUGAUUCGAGUUUCCCAGUUUGGGAAUAGCACAGCUUCUUCGUCGUUCCAAUCAAACCAGGAUGAAUAACUUUGUGAGAAGCUUGAUUUGGAUACAUAAAGUGGUGGAGAAUCACCAGGAAGUUGAAUAAAUCUCAUAGGAGUAGGGAUGAAGAAGUUAUCACACUUUCAAAUCAGGUGAUUCCAGUUUCCCAGUUUGGGAAUAGCACAGCUUCUUCGUCGUUCCAAUCAAACCAGGAUGAAUCACUUUGUGAGAAGCUUGUCGUACGACGAGGGAGGUGAAGAGUACCUCUUCAAGAUCGUCAUCAUCGGAGACUCCGCCGUCGGCAAGUCCAAUCUCCUCACCCGCUGAAUCCAAGGCUCAACUUCUUCUUCUCCGUCGUCUUCUAUCGAUGGACUGAAUUUCCAAAACCAUGGCAAAAAGAAAAAAGAACUAUAAGGCAACUUGACUUCAGAGCCAUGUGUAUCACGAGACUUCAGAGCCAUGUGUGGAAGCUAAAGGUCCCGAGCAAGAUGAAACAUUUCUUGUGGCAGGCUAUCUCGGGCUGCGUGGCGACGGCAGAGAGGCUCAUGUAUAGACACCUGGGCACCGAUAGGAGUUGUCCUAGAUGUGCUGGCCCAGUGGAGUCGAUUAAUCAUCUUCUUUUUGAAUGCCCACCAGCUCUUCAGGUUUGGGCUUUAUCGGACUAUCCGUCCACUCCGGGUUAUUUCCCGAGUACAUCCAUAUAUCAAAACAUGAACUUCCUUUUUGGAAGAGAAAAUAGGUGGCUCCUCUGAGACCACAAUUCGAUACCUUCCCAUGGAUCUGUUAGUACAUUUGGAAGCCGAGGAACGACAAACUCUUCAAUGGGAAAGACGUAUCCCCAUUGACACCCUCCAACAUGCGUCUCUUGAGGUGGAAUGUUGGAGGAAGGCUAACGAAAAGGAGGAAGCAAAGGAGGAUCAUGAUGAUCCCCCUACUACAGAGAUUGAGACAGUGCCCCCUUGGAUACCUCGAAUCCCUACUUGUCAAAUUGAUGCAUCAUGGAUCAAUAAUGGCAGUGUCAGUGGCUUAGGAUGGAGUCUUAAGGAUCAAAUGGGCUUAGAAUACUUCGGAUUACGGGCGUGUAACAUGAGCCUCUCAGCUUUGCAUGUUGAAUCAGGUGAUUCCUGUUUCCCCGUUUGAAAAUAGCACAAAUUCUCCGUCGUUCCAACCAAACCAGGAUGAAUAUCUUUGUAAGAAUCUUGAUUUGGAUACAUAAAGUGGUGGAGAAUCACCAGGAAGUUUAAUAAAUCUCAUAGGAGUUGGGAUGAAGAAUUUAUCCCACUUUCAAAUCAGGUGAUUCCAGUUUCCCAGUUUGGGAAUAGCACAGCUUCUUCGUCGUUCCAAUCAAACCAGGAUGAAUCACUUUGUAAGAAGCCUGAUUUGGAUACAUAAAGUUGUGGAGAAUCACCAGGAAGUUGAAUAAAUCUCAUAGGAGUUGGCAAGAAGAAAUUAUCCCACUUUCAAAUCAGGUGAUUCCAGUUUCCCAGUUUGGGAAUAGCACAGCUUCUUCGUCGUUCCAAUCAAACCAGGAUGAAUCACUUUGUAAGAAGCUUGAUUUGGAUACAUAAAGUGGAGGAGAAUCACGAGGAAGUUGAAUAAAUCUCAUAGGAGUUGGCAUGAAGAAGUUAUCCCACUUUCAAAUCAGGUGAUUCCAGUUUCCCAGUUUGGGAAUAGCACAGCUUCUUCGUUGUUCCAAUCAAACCAGGAUGAAUCACUUUGUGAGAAGCUUGACUUGGAUACAUAAAGUGGUGGAGAAUCACCAGGAAGUUGAAUAAAUCUCAUAGGAGUUGGCAUGAAGAAGUUAUCCCACUUUCAAAUCAGGUGAUUCCAGUUUCCCAGUUUGGGAAUAGAACAGCUUCUUCGUCGUUCCAAUCAAACCAGGAUGAAUCUCUUUGUAAGAAGCUUGAUUUGGAUACAUAAAGUGGUGGAG
rnacentral:lncRNA from 1 species